rnacentral:rRNA from 1 species
CAGCCGUAAACUAUGCGCGUUAGGUGUAUCGGUGACCACGAGUUACCGAGGUGCCGAAGGGAAACCGUGAAACGUGCCGCCUGGGAAGUACGGUCGCAAGGCUGAAACUUAAAGGAAUUGGCGGGGAGGCACCACAACGGGUGGAGCCUGCGGUUUAAUUGGACUCAACGCCGGGAAGCUCACCGGAUAAGACAGCGGAAUGAUUGCCGGGCUGAAGACUCUGCAUGACUAGCUGAGAGGAGGUGCAUGGCGUAGACGUCU